rnacentral:rRNA from 1 species
ACACGACUACAUUAGAUACCCCUGUAGUCCUAGCCGUAAACGAUACUCGCUAGGUGUCGGCCACGGUGCGACCGUUGUCGGUGCCGUAGGGAAGCCGUGAAGCGAGCCACCUGGGAAGUACGGCCGCAAGGCUGAAACUUAAAGGAAUUGGCGGGGAGCACCACAACGGGUGGAGCUUGCGGUUUAAUUGGAUUCAACGCCGGAAAUCUUACCGGGACCGACAGCAACAUGAAGGCCAGGCUGAUGACCUUGCUUGACAAGCUG